rnacentral:rRNA from 1 species
GAUGAACGCUGGCGGCGUGCCUAAUACAUGCAAGUCGAGCGAACAGACGAGGAGCUUGCUCCUCUGACGUUAGCGGCGGACGGGUGAGUAACACGUGGAUAACCUACCUAUAAGACUGGGAUAACUUCGGGAAACCGGAGCUAAUACCGGAUAAUAUAUUGAACCGCAUGGUUCAAUAGUAAAAGACGGUUUUGCUGUCACUUAUAGAUGGAUCCGCGCCGCAUUAGCUAGUUGGUAAGGUAACGGCUUACCAAGGCGACGAUGCGUAGCCGACCUGAGAGGGUGAUCGGCCACACUGGAACUGAGACACGGUCCAGACUCCUACGGGAGGCAGCAGUAGGGAAUCUUCCGCAAUGGGCGAAAGCCUGACGGAGCAACGCCGCGUGAGUGAUGAAGGUCUUCGGAUCGUAAAACUCUGUUAUUAGGGAAGAACAAAUGUGUAAGUAACUAUGCACGUCUUGACGGUACCUAAUCAGAAAGCCACGGCUAACUACGUG